CACGUAGGGGGCAAGCGUUGUCCGGAUUCAUUGGGCGUAAAGAGCUCGUAGGCGGUUCGAUAAGUCGGGUGUGAAACCUCCAGGCUCAACCUGGAGACGCCACCCGAUACUGUCGUGACUAGAGUCCAGUAGGGGAGCGUGGAAUUCCUGGUGUAGCGGUGAAAUGCGCAGAUAUCAGGAGGAACACCAGCGGCGAAAGCGACUCUCUGGACGGUAACUGACGCUGAGGCACGGAAAGCGUGGGGAGCAAACAGG
rnacentral:rRNA from 1 species